rnacentral:lncRNA from 1 species
UAAACAUAAACCUAGUCAAAUACAAAACAUUAUUUUAGACUUCCAAAUAACUUCAUUUUCUCAAAAGAUGAGAUUUAAUUUUUUAUUUUAUUUCCCUCUCCUCUGUAAAAAUUCGACAUAAAUUUUUUGGACAUAUCUCUAAUUGUUUCUCAUGGAGUAUCUUAAAAUGAAGCGUAUAAAUGUUUUCUCUUCUCAUAAAACAUCUCGAAGGGAUCCUUUGCAAGUAAACUCUUCGAGAGACUUCCAUAAGUGAAGAGUGUAUUCAAAAGAUGUAUCUGAUCUGAUGGUGAUCACAAGGGACACAAUCCUUGAUGAAUGGAUGGAUUAUGUGAAGGCAUGCAUUCAAUGAAAGGAUGCUUAAGCAUCUAAUCGUCAUUACCCUUUCACAUCUAUAAAUAGAAAAGGGUUUGUACUUCAUAUCUAUCAUAACAACAUCCUCUUUCAUUAGAAUAACACUAGGAUUAGAGAAGAGAAUUAAGAACACUAAAUGAGUGAACUCAAGUGCACCUAUUAAGCAUUUUAGAAAAAGAUUGUGUCCUUAUAUAAGAGGAUUGAGAGAAAUUGCUUCAAUCAAAUUUGUUGAUUUUCAACACAUCAUGAUUUGGCUAGUUUAGGUUCGGCCUUGAUUCUCCUUUGUUAGAGUGGACUUCAAGGAAACAAGAAGCAGCUCGUUAUAUCCUGUGUGUAUCCCCUCAGAUCAACUGAUAGAUACGUAGCCUCUUGGUAUUCCCGGUUUCAUAUCUUUUUGAUCUAAUCUCAAUGUUCAAGAUGGACUGUUGAGAUUGAGGAAGCAUAGUAAAGGAAAUCAAAUAAUUUGAAGUUUUGGCUCGAAGUCUUCCAAUUUGCAGUCCUGCUAAUCAUAUGAUUUUGUUGAUGUUGUUAAGAGGCCCGGCCCAUGUGCUUUCGUUCUUAUCAUGUAGUAGUAACAAUUGUAACAGCAUGCCAUAAUAACAACAAAGAUCCGUCACACAAGAGGAGUGAGAGUGAUCCACUUGUUCUUGUUCCUUUGCUUGGAGCAGAUUUGAUCUGAUUCAAGUAUGAUUAGAGGAGAUGGGAAACCUUUCCUUGUAGGUCUGCUUGCCUUCGGACUAAACACUCAUACUGUUUAGCAUUAACGCAACCUGGCCAAUUUGCUCAGCUAGUGAUAGCACUGU